rnacentral:rRNA from 1 species
AGAGUUUGAUCMUGGCUCAGGACGAACGCUGGCGGCGUGCUUAACACAUGCAAGUCGAACGGUGAUGAUGGGGCUUGCCCUGUCUGAUCAGUGGCGAACGGGUGAGUAACACGUGAGUAACCUGCCCCUGACUCUGGGAUAACCGUGGGAAACGACGGCUAAUACCGGAUAUGAGACGUCCACGCAUGUGGAGCGUCUGGAAAGAUUUAUUGGUCUGGGAUGGACUCGCGGCCUAUCAGCUUGUUGGUGGGGUAAUGGCCUACCAAGGCGACGACGGGUAGCCGGCCUGAGAGGGCGACCGGCCACACUGGGACUGAGAYACGGCCCAGACUCCUACGGGWGGCAGCAGURGGGAAUAUUGGACAAUGGGCGAAAGCCUGAUCCAGCGACGCCGCGUGGGUGAAGAAGGCCUGCGGGUUGUAAAGCCCUUUCGGUAGGGACGAAAACUCUCGACUUAACACGUCGAGGGAUUGACUUAACCUACAUAAGAAGCACCGGCUAACUCUGUGCCAGCAGCCGCGGUAAUA